rnacentral:rRNA from 1 species
AGGGGAAAAAUUAAUAAUGGGGGUUAUUAAUAAAAAAAAUUUUAUUUUAAUUAGUUUUAGUGGGGUGAUUUGAACAAAUUGGAAAUUUUAUAGUUAAUUAGUAUUGUAAAAGAAUUUUGAAAAUAUUUGAAAAUAAAUUUAUAAAAAAGUAAUUUUAAUUUAAUGUAUCUUGUGUAUCAGAGUUUAUUAAUAAAAAUAUUUAUUUUAAUUUUUUUCGAAUUUAAAAGAGAUAAUUAAUUAAUAAAGUUAAUGUUGUAUAAUUAUUUUAAAUAAUUAAUUUGAAAUGAAAUGUUAAUCGUUUUUAAAUAUAUCUAGUUUUUUUAGAAAAAAAUUUAAUUUUAAAUUAAUUUAAUAAUUAAUUUAUUUAUAUAAUUUAUUGUUAAAUUAAUUUUAUAUUUUAAGGGAUAAGCUUUAAAUUAAAUUUUUAUAAUUUUAAAUUUAAAGUUAAAAUUUUUAUUAUUUAUAUUGUAAAUAAAUUUUAUUUUAUUAUAAAUAAUUUUAUAAUUUAUUUUAAAAUUUAUUUUAAAUUUAAUUUUUUAUAAAAAAUAAAUUUAAAAUUAAAUUAAAGUUUGAUAUAAUGAUAAAAUUAGUAUAUGAAAUUAAUUUAAUAAUUUGUUAAUUUGUUAUUAAUAAUUUUAAGGAAUUCGGCAAAAUUUUAUGUCCACUUGUUUAUCAAAAACAUGUCUUUUUGAUUUUAAUUUAAAGUUUGAUCUGCCCACUGAUAUUAAUUAAAGGGCUGCAGUAUUUUGACUGUACAAAGGUAGCAUAAUCAUUAGUCUUUUAAUUGGUGACUUGUAUGAAUGAUUGGAUGAGAUAUAAUCUGUCUUAGAUUUAUUUAAUAUAAUUUAAUUUUUUAAUUAAAAAGUUAAAAUACAUUAAAAAGACGAGAAGACCCUAUAGAGUUUUAUAAUUAUUAAUUAAUUAAGAAUAUUUAUAAAAUUAAUUUAUUUAAAAUUUUAUAUAUUUAUUUGAUUGGGGUGAUUGAGAAAUUAAAUUAACUUUUUUUUAUUAUUAACAUUAAUAAGUGAAUUAAAGAUCCAUUUUUAUUGAUUAAAAGAAAAAAUUACCUUAGGGAUAACAGCGUAAUUUUUUUUUUUAGUUCAUAUAAGAAGAAGAGUUUGCGACCUCGAUGUUGGAUUAAGAUGAAAUUUAAAUGUAAAAGUUUAAGUGUUUUGAUCUGUUCGAUCAUUAAAAUCUUACAUGAUCUGAGUUCAAACCGGUGUAAGCCAGGUUGGUUUCUAUCUUUUAAUAAGGGUAAUAUUUUAGUACGAAAGGAUCGAAUAUUAAAAUUAAAUUUAAUAGUUUGAAUAUUAAUAAUUUUUUUUAUAAAAAUAAAAAUUAUAAAAUAAAUUUAAAAUAAAUGAGAUAAUAUUUAUUUAUUUUUUUAUAUUUAAUUGAAAUAUUUUA